rnacentral:rRNA from 1 species
GACGAACGCUGGCGGCGUGCUUAACACAUGCAAGUCGAACGGAAAGGCCCUGCUUUUGUGGGGUGCUCGAGUGGCGAACGGGUGAGUAACACGUGAGUAACCUGCCCUUGACUUUGGGAUAACUUCAGGAAACUGGGGCUAAUACCGGAUAGGAGCUCCUGCUGCAUGGUGGGGGUUGGAAAGUUUCGGCGGUUGGGGAUGGACUCGCGGCUUAUCAGCUUGUUGGUGGGGUAGUGGCUUACCAAGGCUUUGACGGGUAGCCGGCCUGAGAGGGUGACCGGCCACAUUGGGACUGAGAUACGGCCCAGACUCCUACGGGAGGCAGCAGUGGGGAAUAUUGCACAAUGGGCGGAAGCCUGAUGCAGCAACGCCGCGUGCGGGAUGACGGCCUUCGGGUUGUAAACCGCUUUCGCCUGUGACGAAGCGUGAGUGACGGUAAUGGGUAAAGAAGCACCGGCUAACUACGUGCCAGCAGCCGCGGUGAUACGUAGGGUGCGAGCGUUGUCCGGAUUUAUUGGGCGUAAAGGGCUCGUAGGUGGUUGAUCGCGUCGGAAGUGUAAUCUUGGGGCUUAACCCUGAGCGUGCUUUCGAUACGGGUUGACUUAAGGAAGGUAGGGGAGAAUGGAAUUCCUGGUGGAGCGGUGGAAUGCGCAGAUAUCAGGAGGAACACCAGUGGCGAAGGCGGUUCUCUGGGCCUUUCCUGACGCUGAGGAGCGAAAGCGUGGGGAGCGAACAGGCUUAGAUACCCUGGUAGUCCACGCUGUAAACGGUGGGUACUAGGUGUGGGGUCCAUUCCACGGGUUCCGUGCCGUAGCUAACGCUUUAAGUACCCCGCCUGGGGAGUACGGCCGCAAGGCUACAACUCAAAGGAAUUGACGGGGCCCCGCACAAGCGGCGGAGCAUGCGGAUUAAUUCGAUGCAACGCGUAGAACCUUACCUGGGUUUGACAUGGAUCGGGAGCGCUCAGAGAUGGGUGUGCCUCUUUUGGGGUCGGUUCACAGGUGGUGCAUGGCUGUCGUCAGCUCGUGUCGUGAGAUGUUGGGUUAAGUCCCGCAACGAGCGCAACCCUUGUUCACUGUUGCCAGCACGUUAUGGUGGGGACUCAGUGGAGACCACCGGGGUCAACUCGGAGGAAGGUGGGGAUGACGUCAAGUCAUCAUGCCCCUUAUGUCCAGGGCUUCACGCAUGCUACAAUGGCUGGUACAGAGAGUGGCGAGCCUGUGAGGGUGAGCGGAUCUCGGAAAGCCGGUCUCAGUUCGGAUUGGGGUCUGCAACUCGACCUCAUGAAGUCGGAGUCGCUAGUAAUCGCAGAUCAGCAACGCUGCGGUGAAUACGUUCCCGGG